rnacentral:tRNA from 1 species
GAGGAAGAGUAAGCGAACAGUAAGUACUGCUAAUACUCACUAACCAGGGUUAAACUCCCUGGCUUCCUCA